rnacentral:lncRNA from 1 species
UAAAAAGUAAAACAAAUGAACAAAUGUAAUAAGACAGAAACUGACGCAUAGAUACAGAGAACAAAUAGGUGUUUGCCAGAGAGGAGGAAAUGAGUAAAAUAGGUGAGGGAGAUUAAGAGGUACAGACUAUCAAUUACAAAAUAAAUGAAGGACAGAGAUGAAAUGUACAACAUGAGGAAUAUAUCAGUAAUAUUGUAAUAAUUUUGUAUGGUAAGUAGACUUAAGGUGACCAAUUUGUAAUAAUAACAACAACCUCCUAUGUUGUGCGCUUGGAAUCAAAAUAACGUAGGUCAAUUACAUUUCAAUCAAAAAUAAGAUUUCUUAGCAUACUCAUACUUGUGUAAGGAUAAUGUGAUAAUAGCAUACAUUUCAUUUAGUAUACUAAAAGACAAGCCAUAGCUAAUAUAUAUACCAUUGGUGUAAGUGUGAAAAAUUCCAUAAGACACAAUUAAUGAUGUCACAGAGCUGUAUAUACAGAUAGUUAUCGAAUGAUCCAGGUAGAUGACAUCAGUACUAUGAGUUAAGUGAAGGAUGGCACAGCCUGGUUGGUUGGUGGGGGUGGAACUGUAUCUAAGCCCUGAAGAACUGAGUUUGGAUUGACAAGGAGGAGGUAAGCAGAGUAGUUGGGCCCUGAGGAGCAAUGAAAGUGAUUACAGGGACCCUGGGUAAGGCAGUAUGAGGGGGGUGGGGGUGGAUAAGGAGUUGACAGGAAAUAGAAACCACGUUAUGGAGCAGGCACAUUCGAGGCUCUGAAGGGCAGUCUGCAUUUAGGGAGUGACAAGAGCCCACUGAAAGUUUCUGAACAGCAGUGUGACACAAUGUGCUGUGUUAGAAAAGUGAGUAUGUCCUAUAGCAU